rnacentral:rRNA from 1 species
UCAGUGGUGAAAUCCUAUAGCUUAACUAUGGAACUGCCAUUGAUACUGAUAUUCUUGAGUGUAAAUGAAGUGGGCGGAAUAUGUCAUGUAGCGGUGAAAUGCAUAGAUAUGACAUGGAACACCAAUUGCGAAGGCAGCUCACUAAACUAUUACUGACGCUAAUGAACGAAAGCAUGGGGAGCAAACAGGAUUAGAUACCCUGGUAGUCCAUGCCGUAAACUAUGAUCACUAGAUGUUGGCGAUAUACUGUCAGUGUUUAAGAGAAAUCGUUAAGUGAUCCACCUGGGGAGUACGUUCGCAAGAAUGAAACUCAAAGAAUUUGACGG